AAUCAACGCUGGCGGCGUGCCUAACACAUGCAAGUCGAACGAGAAAGUGGAGCAAUCCAUGAGUAAAGUGGCGCACGGGUGAGUAACACGUGACUAACCUACCCUUGAGUGGGGGAUAACCUAGGGAAACCUGGGCUAAUACCGCAUAAUACCUACGGGUCAAGGAGCAAUUCGCUUUAGGAGGGGGUCGGCGGCAGAUUAGUUAGUUUGGCGGGGUAAGUAGGCCCACCAAGACGAUGAUCGUAUCCGGCCUGAGAGGGCGCACGGACACACUGGAACUG
rnacentral:rRNA from 1 species